UCAAGGCUCCCAGACUCCCCCUCCGCUGCCGACUGCCCGGCUGCCCGCUCAGCUCUGCGUUCUCUGGCCCUCAGACACCCAACUGUGGCCACUGGGUGAGGUCUGGGGCACCGAACCACCAAACCACACAUCUGCAAAGCGCGAGCUGGUGUCUCUUCACACACUGGCUGCCCGCCUGGUCUGGCUCCAGGCACUGCCUGGCCCAGAAGUGGUUAUGACCGCCUGAGCUUGCUACCUGGGGUGCCAGAAUGGGAGUGCAGGUGGAGAGGGGCAGAGAGCCUCCUUCAAACCCUGGGAGCUGGGGAGCCACUCCGUGCUGCCUGGGGAUGGCACAAGGGAGCACAAAUUCGGGCCAGCUCAGAGACGUUCUAGAGUUUUAGCUGUUAUAUUUGGAGAUGCGAAUCUUUUGAAAUUAAUUUUUGUACCUGGUACAAGAAAAAGGUGGAGGUUUGCUGUUCAGCCUUCUGCUCAUACAGUCAAUACAGCACCCUCUGUGGAAACGAGAGUCCUUGCACCUUUGUCAGAGCUCAGUGGACCUGGUAUGUGUGGACCUUACAGGACCCUGUUCUGUUUCAUUUGUCUGUUUUUAUUUCAGUAACACAUGUUCUUGUUUACUUUUGCCUUAUAUAAA